rnacentral:rRNA from 1 species
GAUGAACGCUGGCGGCGUGCCUAAUACAUGCAAGUCGAGCGAACAGACGAGGAGCUUGCUCCUUUGACGUUAGCGGCGGACGGGUGAGUAACACGUGGGUAACCUACCUAUAAGACUGGGAUAACUUCGGGAAACCGGAGCUAAUACCGGAUAAUAUUUCGAACCGCAUGGUUCGAUAGUGAAAGAUGGCUUUGCUAUCACUUAUAGAUGGACCUGCGCCGUAUUAGCUAGUUGGUAAGGUAACGGCUUACCAAGGCAACGAUACGUAGCCGACCUGAGAGGGUGGUCGGCCACCCUGGAACUGAGACACGGUCCAGACUCCUACGGGAGGCAGCAGUAGGGAAUCUUCCGCAAUGGGCGAAAGCCUGACGGAGCAACGCAGCGUGAGUGAUGAAGGUCUUCGGAUCGUAAAACUCUGUUAUUAGGGAAGAACAAACGUGUAAGUAACUGUGCACGUCUUGACGGUACCUAAUCAGAAAGCCACGGCUAACUACGUG